AUCCGAUCGUGUUAGCGAGCUUGGAUCAUGCGAUCCUUUUGGAUCCCUCCUUCAGCCAUUUCAUGGCAUCAUUCAGUCAUCGUCAUCGUCUACCGAUCCCUCAGCUUCUUCUGUCUUCCAUGAUUCGCCAGGACGGUGCAAGGAACUCCAAAUGAGUUAGCUUCUUCCCUCGCUCUCUGCCUUGGUAUGCUUCCUGUAAUUUGCUCAUCGUUUGCUUUGGCUCAUCCGCAGUCUCUUCUCCGAGCGUUCUUAGCAUAUAUUACACGACUACGUAUGCUUUUAUGUACUGCUUGCAUACUAUCUAUCUUUCUUCCUUUUUAAUCUCAACAAGGAUGCAAGCAAAGGUUCCAGGUUUCGGUGCUCAUCUGCAGAAGAAGUCAAAUACAGGACAACCAAGUUAUACUGUGUGCGCUAGUAAUCCUUCUCCCGUCAUCCUCUGCGGUCAUGAAACUUCAUGACCACAAAAUGCUAUUUCAACAUGCGGAAACCUGCUAAUUAAUCUCUUGGCCUUUGAAAGUGUAGGAGAUCUGCUCCGGAUCUUGUCAGCGUCCCAUUUGCUGAUUGGAAUGAAGAAAGUCACAUUUUGUUGCUGGAAAGAAGUUGCAGCCAUAGUCUCAUAAACCAUUUGGACAGCAUCUGCGUCGAGACCUAAAGUGACCAACCAUCUAACUCAGAACAAAACAAAUGGAUCAGGAUUCUCUGUGUUUGGUCCCUCCAUUUCAGGUGGAUACAUGCAUCCACUGUGCCAAAAAGCUGGUGAUGCAGGGCCCUGCCUCCAUGAACCCGAGAUGGGGAUCUUCGCCCAUCACAACCAGUCGUAGCUCCAUCCCUGUCCUACGACAUUGAUUCCAUGUUUCGAGUUUGUACUCCCAACAGGACACACAGUCUUCGCCUGCCAUCGUCACCAUCUUAGUCUCCAUAAGUUCGCAAUGCCUUGGGAAGUGCAAAAACACGGAAUAGCUUCUUCUCACAGGUGAGGUAGGAGAAAAGGAACUCCCACCAACAAAAGCGACAUGGAUCCAACACCAUCCAUCCAUUCUUGCUAGUUGUAAAGAUGCCAUCUACUUGUAUCGAAUUGACCCAUAAAUUCGAUAGCGUUCUAAACUUUACCAGCUUAUGAGCUUCUGUUUUCUUUUUCA